GACGAACGCUGGCGGCGUGCCUAAUACAUGCAAGUCGAACGCUUCUUUCCUCCCGAGUGCUUGCACUCAAUUGGAAAGAGGAGUGGCGGAAGGGUGAGUAACACGUGGGUAACCUACCCAUCAGCGGGGGAUAACACUUGGAAACAGGUGCUAAUACCGCAUAACAGUUUAUGCCGCAUGGCAUAAGAGUGAAAGGCGCUUUCGGGUGUCGUUGAUGGAUGGACCCGCGGUGCAUUAGCUAGUUGGUGAGGUAAAGGCUCAACAAGGCCACGAUGCAUAGCCGACGAGAGGGGGUGAUCGGCCACACGGGCACUGAGACACGGCCCAGACCCCUACGGGAGGCAGCAGUGGGGAAUCUUCGGCAAUAGACGAAAGUCUGACCGAGCAACGCCGAGUGAGUGGAGAAGGUUUGCGGAGCGUAAAACUCUGUUGUGAGAGAAGAACAAGGACGGUAGUAACUGAACGUCCCCUGACGGUAUCUAACCAGAAAGCCACGGCUAACUACGUG
rnacentral:rRNA from 1 species